CCUGUGGCUCCCCCAUGCCUCAUUCUGAGUCCAUAGAUGUGGUCACAAAACAGAAAUUGGAAUGCAAUGCCGCGGCUUCUGUGGGUGUUCUGCGGUCUCAGCCUUGAUCUCUCUGGGCCCCAGGUUAUCUCUCGCCUCUUCUCCAGCUACCACCUGGAUGGUGAAUGUGUGUCCCCAGCACUGGCCACCAGCCCCUGGCCAGGGGCAGAGGCAGAACCAGAGUAGACGCUGGAUGAUGACUCCAAGACUUUACGGCUACUGUCCAUGCAACUUGAAUUUCCAGAGAGCCACAUGACCCACCCGAGAUGCUUCACGCCAGCUGUGCUGAUGAACAUGAAGAAAGAGGCUACAGGGACUGGUAGAAAACCCACUGACUGAUGAACUAUGCUUGACCCAUUUCUCCAAACACAACGUACAUAUGGGAGAAAGGCCACCGGGCUCUGAAUGCAGUGGAUCAGCUUAGUAAACAGUCUCUUUCCCACCCCUUCAUAGAAAUGAGUCCCCAAGGAUGGUGAAUUUUCCAUAUAUGACUUUUAGAAAUAGGGUAGAAUUUGGGGUGGGGGUGGGGACAAUAAUGAAUAGAUUUAAAUCAAUAAAUACCAUAUAUAUGGUCUGUCUUCGUUCCAAUGUACAAUCCUGAGGUCCACAGCAUUUUGCUGAUCAUUAAAGUGCUUUGGAGAAUGGUGCUUUCUUAGAUGCACCAUUCUCCAAAGUCCAUGAGAAAAGUCAAUGGAAUCCCAGCCCCAAGCUUCAAACAGUGUUUAUGCAUUAGCACAGAUGCCAGCCCCACAUUCCCCGUGCAAACCUGCCUAACUCUACCUACUAUGAACCCCUGUAGCAUUCACCAUCUGGGUGUCUCAUUUUGCAUGGAACAUUUGAUGGCUCUUAAAAAUAAUAAUACCAACCUUUCUAGGUGUUCUUUGUAUUUUUUCAACUCUUUUAUAAGUCCCUGAAAGACAAAUCUGUGCCCUUUGUAUCCCCA
rnacentral:lncRNA from 1 species